rnacentral:rRNA from 1 species
UACAGAGGGUGCAAGCGUUAAUCGGAAUUACUGGGCGUAAAGCGUGCGUAGACGGUUGCGUAAGUCAGAUGUGAAAGCCCCGGGCUCAACCUGGGAAUUGCAUUUGAGACUGCGUAGCUAGGGUGCGGAAGAGGGAAGCGGAAUUUCCGGUGUAGCGGUGAAAGUGCGUAGAUAUCGGAAGGAACACCAGUGGCGAAAGCGGCUUCCUGGUCCAGCACCGACGUCAGGCACGAAAGCGUGGGGAGCAAACAGG